CUUGUUCCCUUGUUUACAUGUGCUGUCGGUCGUACGAGUUGCUACGAUGUGUUUGUUUGAUCGUGUUUUUGCGUUUGCUGUAAUGAAUUGUGACUUAGUUCGCGUGCACAAAAGUGUCCGAAGAUAGCUUGUGUCUCGCUGCAAACUCGCGGUAUGCGUGGUGCGCCAGGCAAACGUGGACCAACGAUUUUCAUGCCAUGGAGUGCGUUCCCUUUGUCCGUGGUGGUUGUGGAAAGUUCGGUGGACGCCGCAAAGAAAUGAUGCGCAUUAUUAGCGUUCCGCAGGUCGUCCACUACGCAACUGCAUGUAUGCGGGAAUAACUUUGCAGCUCCGGCAACUUGGAAGGCGCUUUUCGACCGCAUCGUACCAUUUAAAAGUGGCAAGGCCGUGACCAACAACAGUGUCCACGUCAGGGAGGAGCUAUGGCUGCAGCAGCACUGUGUGUAAUCGGAUGGUCUGGUCAGGUACAGAUUGGUGUGGGAUUGGUGAUGCCACUCAACAAGUGGCAUUACAUAUUCAAGUCUGCUUCCGACGGGAAGUGCCCAUUAGAGGUGGCAUGGCACCUGUGGACACCAGUGCAAGCAGGUGAAAGCAGCCUGACUGGACAGGCCUGCCGGACAAUGUGCCGCGCAUCUGGGAAGCUUCCGGCAACACCGGAGAAAGUGGCUGUUU
rnacentral:lncRNA from 1 species